AUGCGUCCGGCGGGCUCCCCCAAGCUCAUCGUCGCCAACCUUGCCUCCUGCUCCAUUGGUUUCCUGGACAGGGUGGCCACGGUGGGUGCCGCCCGCAUGCCGCUCACCGACGUCUCGGUGUUUCUCAACUCCCUAUCUACUCUCAAGACGAUGAUCUCCGGCCCCUGGACUAUCAUCGGCAACUUUAACUUGACUCUCCGCCCAUCCGAGAGAUCAAACGAUAACUUUAAUCGCACCGAGGCAACGCUGUUUUCAUCCACGAUCCAUUUGCUGCAGUUGCAAGAUCUCCCUCUCCUCGAUCGCCUCUACACUUGGUCCAAUCAACAAGACAAUCCAAUCUUGGUUAAGCUAGACCGAGCCUUAAUCAACGUAGAUUGGUCCCAGUCCUUUCCGGACUCUUCGAUUAUAUCUUGCUCUCGUACUACUUCCGACCAU
rnacentral:rRNA from 1 species